rnacentral:rRNA from 1 species
GACGAACGCUGGCGGCGUGCUUAACACAUGCAAGUCGAACGGUGAAGCCUUCGGGUGGAUCAGUGGCGAACGGGUGAGUAACACGUGAGCAAUCUGCCCUUGACUCUGGGAUAACUUCGGGAAACCGGAGCUAAUACCGGAUAUGACGCCUGGCCGCAUGGUCUGGGUGUGGAAAGAUUUAUCGGUCAAGGAUGAGCUCGCGGCCUAUCAGCUUGUUGGUGGGGUAAUGGCCCACCAAGGCGACGACGGGUAGCCGGCCUGAGAGGGCGACCGGCCACACUGGGACUGAGACACGGCCCAGACUCCUACGGGAGGCAGCAGUGGGGAAUAUUGCGCAAUGGGCGGAAGCCUGACGCAGCGACGCCGCGUGAGGGAUGAAGGCCUU